rnacentral:rRNA from 1 species
GAUGAACGCUGGCGGCGUGCCUAAUACAUGCAAGUCGAGCGAACAGACGAGGAGCUUGCUCCUCUGACGUUAGCGGCGGACGGGUGAGUAACACGUGGAUAACCUACCUAUAAGACUGGGAUAACUUCGGGAAACCGGAGCUAAUACCGGAGAAUAUAUUGAACCGCAUGGUUCAAUAGUGAAAGACGGUUUUGCUGUCACUUAUAGAUGGAUCCGCGCCGCAUUAGCUAGUUGGUAAGGUAACGGCUUACCAAGGCAACGAUGCGUAGCCGACCUGAGAGGGGGAUAGGCCACCCUGGAAGUGAGCCACGGACAAGACUCCUACGGGAGGCAGCAGUAGGGAAUCUUCCGCAAUGGGCGAAAGCCUGACGGAGCAACGCCGAGUGAGUGAUGAAGGUCUUCGGAUCGUAAAACUCUGUUAUUAGGGAAGAACAAAUGUGUAAGUAACUAUGCACGUCUUGACGGUACCUAAUCAGAAAGCCACGGCUAACUACGUG